rnacentral:rRNA from 1 species
GUGAGAUGUUGGGUUAAGUCCCGUAACGACGCGCAACCCUUGUCCUUAGUUACCAGCACGUUAUGGUGGGCACUCUAAGGAGACUGCCGGUGACAAACCGGAGGAAGGUGGGGAUGACGUCAAGUCAUCAUGGCCCUUACGGCCUGGGCUACACACGUGCUACAAUGGUCGGUACAAAGGGUUGCCAAGCCGCGAGGUGGAGCUAAUCCCAUAAAACCGAUCGUAGUCCGGAUCGCAGUCCGCAACUCGACUGCGUGAAGUCGGAAUCGCUAGUAAUCGUGAAUCAGAAUGUCACGGUGAAUACGUUCCCGGGCCUU